UCAGGAAAACAACUCCGCAGUGAAAUCACAGCCAUCAACUCAGACCAGGUUCUGGAUUUGGGACCCAUCACUCGGAAAGGUGGCCCAGCCCAGUCUCUUGGUCUCGUGAGUGGCAGCCCUGACACUGCAGGAUUCCUGGUGGUCUGGCCCAUGAUCCUCCUGCCUGUCCUCCUGGCAGGGCUGUUCUGAGAAGUCACUGGGUAGCAGCCUUCACUUCCCUCUGGCCCUGGCUUCCCAUCACCCUCUGGCUCUUCCGGUUCCCUCAGAUCACGUAGACAGUGUUAGCGUCCACAGACCCCAGGCUGGGCGAGGCUUGGGGAAAGCGGUGAGCUUCCCUGGCUUAACUCUCUGCGUGUCUUCCCUUUUUGCCCCCGUGUUGGGACCCUGCUGCCUCUCUUGGGCUGACUUCCUCAUUCAUUAGCAAGACCUUGAAAAUAAACUUGCCAGGUGUCUUUGGCUCCAUCUU